rnacentral:rRNA from 1 species
UACGUAGGGGCCAGCGUUGUCCGGAAUCAUUGGGCGUAAAGCGCGUGUAGGCGGUCCGGUAAGUCCGCUGUGAAAGUCGAGGGCUCAACCCUCGAAUGCCGGUGGAUACUGUCGGGCUAGAGUGCGGAAGAGGCGAGUGGAAUUCCUGGUGUAGCGGUGAAAUGCGCAGAUAUCAGGAGGAACACCUAUUGCGAAGGCAGCUCGCUGGGACGUUACUGACGCUGAGGCGCGAAAGCUAGGGGAGCGAACGGG